CUGCUUGCUUCGGCAGCACAUAAACUAAAAUUGAAAUGAUGCAGACAUUAGCAUGGCCCCUGCACAAGGAUGACACACAAAUUCAUGAAGUGUUGCAUAAAAAA
rnacentral:snRNA from 1 species